UAUGCAGCUUUCAAAACUAAUACACAAACUCUCCGUUCAGUGAAGGUACAUAUACCCAGAGACAUCCAUCCAUACAGAGACGCACCUAUACGCAGACAUAUAAAUAUUCACGCCUCUCCAUUUUCAGGUACACCGUGCUCACAGAUGUAAAAACAUAUUUAUAUGCAUAAACAUAUAUACAUACACAAGCACAUACACAUUCUUAGUUAUACACACACACACACACAUUUGCAUCCAUAAACACAGAGGUAGGCUUGUACACAAUCUAUACAGUCACAUUUAUGUGAACAUUCAGACGCAGUAGAUGCAUAUGCACACACAUAACAGUGAAGAACAUUAUAAAAUACUUUCUAUGUGCCAGGCACUGGUCUAAGUUCCUCGUACAUAUAAACCCAUUUCAAUACUUCCACAGAUAUAGAGGAGCAUAUAGAUGCUGAUCUUCCUACCAUGGAACUUCUGUAAAAUACCACACCACUGUAUACUACAGGGGCCCAAAGUGAAGACGUUUCUCAGCUGGAGCAAUUUCUCAGGGCGGAUUCUGGUGGAGCGUUUUCCCUCUCCCUAAGUGCCUGGCAGCGUUCGGAAGAAACAGACCCCGGGCCACCACCUCUUCUAGCCUCUGACUGCCUUCCAACCUCCUCUGCGGUCAUCUCCUCUGGGACCAUCUUCCUGGCCAUGCUGUGCUUCCAGAACUGGUCAACACCUUUUUUUUUGUGGUUAGCUCCCUAUUGCCGACCAACUGUGAGCUCCCAGAUUCAUUAGAAUUAUUCACAGCCUGUUCAUCCUGCAUCUGUGGGCUCUCCUACACCCACCUCUCACGGGGCUUCUAUUUCGACCAAGAUGAUGUGGCUCUGAAGGGUGUGGACUCCUUCUGUAAACUGGCGGGGGAGAAGUGUGAGGGUGCCAGGCAUCUCCUGACAAUGCAAAACCAGCACCGGCAGCCGUGCCCUCUUCCAGGAUGUGGGGAAGCCAUCCAAGAUGAGUAGGGUACAACUCGGGACACCAUGGAAGCCACUUCGGCCCUGGAGGAGACCCUGAACCCAGUCUCUUUGUUUGGGAUCGCAUGCCCUGGUUCUGCCCACACAGACCCCCAUCUGUAUGACUCCCUAGAGAGCUGUUCCUGGAUGAGGAGGCGAAACUCACCAAGAAGGUGGGUGACCACCUGGCUAACCUCAGGCUGGGCUGGGCGAGUGUCUCAAUGAAAGCUUAGUCUCAAGCAUGACUAGGAGGCUGGCAGCCUUUGAGGGGGGCCCUCUGUAUAUUCUGGGUGUUUGGGCUUCUGCCCGAGCCUCUCCUCCAGCACUAGGCAGCUUUCAUACCCAUCCUGGACCCUCUCCCAAGCUGUGGACCAAAGGGAAAUCAUAAAGCUUUUUGCAAAACAGCCACAACAAAAAGGGGCUCCCAUGGAUAUUCCCCAAGGUGGCUGUCAGUGUGGGAAGAAUGGAAAGGUGCUUGUUGUCUGGGUUUCCCAAGGCUCUUUCCUGCCUAUGCAAGUUGGGCCAACCUAGGGGCAGAGAGAAAGCUACGCUCCUCGGGGUCAAAGGACGUGAGUGGCAGAUUCUGCUCUGCCUUCCCCUCCUCUCUUCUCAGGGCCUCAGGUUUCUCAUCUGUAAAGUGGGUGUGGUGAUAACUGCGUGGCCAGCAGGUGCCAGUUACUAUAUUAAGGGCUGUAUAUACAGGAUAUCGUUAGUUUUCCUCCGAAGCCCUAUGAGGUGGCUUCUCUUAGCAUCCCUGUUUGGUAGAUGGGAAAACUGAGCCUCAGAGAGGUGAAGUGCCUUGCUCAAGGUCAAAGUCUGACCAUGGUAGCCUGCAGUUCAAACCCAGGUCUCUGUGUGCUCUUAAUCCCAGUGUCCUCUCUGCCCCCCGCGUCCCCCCCCCCCACCGCCACCACCUUCUUGGGGAGUUUGAGACCCAGUCCUGCAGCAAGACCUUGCAAUUGGCAAAGGGCAGUUUUCAUGAUGCCUGCUACUCAGCAUGGGGACAGGCCUGGGUGGUGGGGCUGACUCUCCUUCCCUUCCCUGUCACUCCCAAGAGAGUUGGGCACAACUCGCUUCUGGAGAAUGUCACAGCACCACUCCCCACCCCAUUUCUCACCUGGGCAGAGAUACUGUUUUUCCUUGCUUUGCACGGCGAGAGAUUGAUGACACUGACUGCCCCAAGUAAUCACCUACUUGCAUCCACACUGCUGUCCUGCAACUUUUUAGCACCUUCCUACGGUGGCUGUGGACUUGGCCGUGCCAUUGACUUUGAUCGAUGAGACAGUAGCCAACUUGGCACGAGUGGUAGUUGGAAAAAGUGUUCUCUUGGACCCCUGCCAGUGCCAGAAGAGCGAUCUAGAGCUAGCCUGCUGGGAGAUGAGAAACCAUGUGGGGCAGAGCUGGGCCAUCUCAGGCAAGGUCUUCCUCGACCAGCCAGUGUCCAAUGGGUCAAAGAUACGUGAACCAGGUGGGAUCAGCCAAGCCCAGACUCAUAAGAAAUAAUAAAUGAUUCUUUUUCUUUUUAAGCCA